AACAUCAGAGAAGGCCCACGGCCCGGGAUUUAGGGAAUCCGUUCUUCUAGUUGGAAGUACACAAAGUUUUCAGGCCCCCACUAAAGCCAUCAUCUUAGGAACUCUGGGAACCUCAUCUACAAACUCAGGAGAUGCAAAGUGGCCGCUUGGAAAUUCGGAAGCAUUGUUCAACGACUAAGACUAAUGUCUCUGGCUAAUCGAGUUAUUAUUAGCCUCGGGAGCGUGGAAACUGAACUGUCACUGCUGAAAGAGAAAAUGUAAGCGACAGCUGUCCCUCUUCGGACUUUGGCUAGCUUUCAGGCCAGGAUCAUCAAGCUCCCGAGCCUACUGCUGCUCCCAUUCCUGUGUGGGCGGCUGCCCGACUCUUCCCCCCCCCCCUUCCCCAAGCCAUAGGACAAGGAGUCUAGACCUGGAUCCUAGCUGGUCCGCAGGGACACCUUCUGCAGGGUUUUAGAAAUCUGGGCUGGAAAUACUAGUUGUUGAAAAUAUUCUGAAGCCGCUAAACCGAGUUAUGAGUGUUGUGUUUGUGCGCGUGCUUACAGGAUUUUGACUUUGACAACAGCUGUUCCCCCGGGCUGUUUUGCACUGUUGAAAUCUUGGCACUUAAUACAAAAUGUGAAGCUGUUUUCUCUCUCUUAGGGUUCUGUUAAUAUACACACAUUGACAUCCGCCUUGA
rnacentral:lncRNA from 1 species